GAUGACAUCACUACACCAAUCAAAAUUUUUUUAGAUUAAAUAAAAUUUUUUGAUUGAUCGAAUGAUGUGGCACUGCGCAGCGCAGCAGGGUCUAUAUAAACCCUGUCUGCACCUAGGGUUUAAGAGAUUCUGCUUCCUACCCAGCAAAAGCCAGCCACCCCUCCUCUUCUCCACAUCCUCCCUGGUGCUCCCUCUCCCC
rnacentral:lncRNA from 1 species